rnacentral:lncRNA from 1 species
GUUCCCAUUGGAGGUUUGGGCCAAGGAUGAGGUUACCUCUUUCCACAAACUGUAAUUUUUUUCCAAAACAUUUCCACUUAAAUUAAAAUCUUAUUUUCUAGGAAAUGAUGUUUUUAAGAAUACAAUCAGACUGCAGGCAAAAGUGGCACACAACCGAUUUAUUUGCUCAUUCUUGAUCCGAUUUGCGACUGUUCAAACAGCAUAAAUCCGUCCAAAUCUAAAUCAUAUGUGGUCCUAAAUCAAAUACAGGUCCAACCACUGUCUUGAUAGCCAGGGCAGAAUGGAUGCGACUCUGACAUCAUUCUAAAUAGUCACCACAGUAAUGCACUAGCGGGACAGACAGAAUUCAAGGUCACUUGCACUCAAAAGCUGUCAAUAAGAAUCUGAAUCUCUUUGCCCUCUGCCCUCUCCUCACUGUUAUCUGUUCAUAAAUUUGCCUGCUUUUGCUCCACAUAAAUUUUGGAAUUAAAUUUUGAAUUGCUAUUGGCAAAUAUAUUUUUUUCCAUUAUCUCAGACAUGUAAUCUUUUUUCACGUACCAUUUCUAAGAAACUGAAGACAUAAUGAACAUCAUUCCACUACUAUUGCCAUGUCCAAGACCGAGACCACACUGCAAUCUGGGACAGGUCACAUUUCAAAAGUAAUGUGGACAUCCCAAAAUAUAAAAAAUUAAAUUAAAUGAAUAAAAAAUUUUAAAAGUGUUUUUUGAGAAAUGAUCCUGAAUUGUGCAGUAAGGUUUAAAGGUAAUACAUCGUCAUAUACUUUUAACUCACACAUGCAGCAGUGCACAUCUACAAUUAAUAUUGUCACAAACCUUGUUAGCAGUUUUGAAAAGCCAUGUUGCAGAUGAAACAAGCUAAAAAACAAGCUAACAAGUGACACCACUUUGAAACCUUACAGUAUAUAGAAAUAAGUGAACUUGAUUUACAGGAAAAUUUUGAAAAUUCCAUAACUCAGAAAUCAUUAAUUGUAGUAUCUAGUUAUACAUUUUCAGUUGCACUGAUUUUCUGGGAUACUUUAAGAGCCCGAUAUGUAACAAUGACCUAAAAUGGCAUAAAAACAAUGCAAUAAAGCCCAAAAUGUAAUAAUUUGUCAAUAAUGUAACAAAAAUGUUGAGCUGUAAAUAUAAUUAAAGAAUGUAACAAAAACCAAAAUGUAAUAAUUUACCCAAAAUGUAACAAUUUGCCACAUUUUUGGCCAAAAGUUAUUACGUUUUGGAUUCAGCAUCUUGUUACAUUAUUGACCAGUUACUACAUUGAAAUUCUAAUGAAAAAAUUUUACUACACUUUUUAAAAUUAGUUUUAUUACACUUCAAUUACAUUUCGGGUCAUUGUUACAUAUUGGGCUUGAACAAGUCUAAUUAUAUUGUGUUAACUAUGGUUCUUGUUUAACCACACUAGAAAAUGUAUCAGUUGCCUAUGACAGAAAGUGUUUGCAGUUCACAAGCUUAUUCUGAAAUGUAAAAAAAAAGAUUCACCAGAGAGAAGUGGUUAGCAUCUGUAAAACAACCUUUAAACAUGUCAGACAUACAACAGACACAUUUAAGUGAAAGAAGAUCAUAUUCUGGAGACAGUGUUUGUUUUGGUUGGCAAUGUUCUCACAAACCGUGUGUUAGUCACGCUAACAUGAUUUAGUUCUGCAUGUGAUUUCUGACCCCUUCCACCACUUCACACAUGCUUCAGGUUAGGAACAGGAGAGUGACUGCUGGUUUAUACCUGUGUGAAUGCACACAAACCACAAGGCAGCUGUACCAACACACUGGUGUCUUAUCCUUGUGUUGGGCUGACCCUCGUGUGCUCAGGAAUCCACGCAGCGGGGUGCCUUAAAACUUACAUCACCAAGUCAAGGGACUGUCACAACAUGCCAAAUAUAUUUCAAAAUGAACUGAUUGAGUAUGAGGAUGCAUAGCCUACAGGCAUCAAGAAUGGCUGAAUCAGUGUCAGAGGGAGUUUAUGUGUGGUCACUGGAUAUGUGCCGCUUUUACCAGUUUCUCUCUGAACCCUUCACUGGGAUACUCAUCUGUUUUUUGUCAAGGUGUUUGUGUAAAGCAAAAUAUUUAAAACACAUUUUCCACUUCUCUAUCUGUUUUCACCCUGAUGGUGCCCACAUGUUAUUUCAGGAGUGUAUUACAAAAAAACAACAAGAGAAUGUUAGGUAUGUUGUGAUUUGAAAAUAAGGUUCACUUUUUAAUCAUAAUUUUAAUAAGAAUCAUUUAGGUGGUGAAAAUAUUUCUUAACAAUCAAUGGGUAUGUGCAAUUUUGUCAUGACACUCUGACAGGACUCUUACCAACAAAAUAGGACCUUCGGGCGUUUGACAUCAAGUUAGACUUCUUUUUCUGUUCAGAUUUAGCCGUUUUAGCUAACCCACAUCAGUGCUUUCCAUUCAUUGUAAACACAAAGGACAGAGUGUAAAGAAGAAUUACUGAGCCGACUGACAAGGCACAGGCCAAGGGGUUAAAGGGGUCAGGGGGACCUUAAGACCAGAGCAUCUGCUCAAAGUGCCUGCUAAUAUUUCAUUUCAGUAAGUCAAUGAAUCAAUGCAAAGUGACAACAUCAGGUUGCAAAACCAGAAUAAAGACAUUGAAAACAACCACAUAGAAAUAACAAAACUACAGGGAGAUACAUACUAUAAAAAAAACUAAAAAUUAAUGCUUAACCACAGAGGCAAAUAAUAGAAAAAAAACAGGGAGAUGCACUGUGUUGGUGUUGAGAGGGGGGAUGGACCCUCUAUCUGUAUUUGCCCAUCUCAAAGGAUGUAGCCAUGAAUUUCUCUGCUGAGCUAUUAGUGACUCAUAGAUGUAAUUAAACAAACAAACUUACGCAAAGAAAGCUCUGCUCUGGGAACACCAGUGAGUCAGCUGAAAGCGUCUUCAGUGUGGGAAAAUUAUGACCGUUGUGUGACCCAAUCAUGCCCACAUGUUUUCAGAUGAGAAAGAAGCUUUACCAGCCUGUUAAUGUGGACAGUAUUUAAGUGGAAAAAAAAAAAAAAAACUCAGCGCUUGGUUUUUAUAUUAUCUUACAGUUGGAGUAGGAGGUAGUAAGUCAUAUAUAUAUAUAUAUAUAUAUAUAUAUAUAUAUGUAUAAAGCCCAAGUGUAAUAUUUGACCAGUUGGCUGCAGUUUGAGAAAGAUGCUUUACUAAGGUCGCUUUCACACCUGACCAAGCGGACUUGGUUUGUUUGGGGAGCUGAAAGUUGCAACAUUUAUCACUUGUUUCGGUUCUGCUUUCACACUAUGAUUUCUAAAGCGCACCAAACUUUGCGAGCAGCAUCACGUGGUUGAAAGGGGCCCUCGUCGAUUGGACAAAGUAGGAGGGGUAUGUAACCUCAUGGAUUACAAACAGGGGUGGACUAGCCGUCUUGUAUCGUGCUUCAUCACAUUAUUUUAUGGAACGCUGCAACGUUAGUGAGCGCAACUGUUCCUAUAAUGCUAUCGUAGCUUGUCAGAGAUUGAUCCUGUUAUUUUUCUAACUUUGACGAUCUAACGUGACGACAUACGAGCUCAGAGUUUAAGGACUGUGACUGUUGGCAGUUGUGACUUGAUUUUGUUUAAAUACGCUAAAUUGUGAAUUUAUGGUUUAUUGUUGUUCAGACAAUUGAGCUAAGCUAGCUAGCAACUGCUAAUGUCAGCGGUUGCUAUGGCAACAAGGUAUGCUGUGCUUCCUCUACCCAAGAUGCACUGCAUAUAGCGUCAUUAUGUACAUUUGGUCCGGUGAGCUUUCACACUGCAUACGAACCGAACCAGGGUUCACUUGCAAGCGAAACCAAGACACGUUUUCAGACGGACCAGAGUUCGCUUGUUUGGUCCGCACCAGAGUUCGGAUGAGCUUUCACACCUCCCCAAACGAAGCAGACUAUCCGAGGAAACGAACUGUGGUCCGUUUAAAGCGGACCAAACAGCUCUGGUGUGAAAGCGACCUUAAUGUAGUUUUAUACAGACCAUACAGAUGCUUACGUUGGUGCAUUUUGGUCUCUGCUGUUUGGAUCCGCUAGUUGCUGAUUUAAUUUGACUACUGCUUUAUGUUCAUUAUAAGGUACUAAAGCAAGAAGCAUCCAACAAUAUUGAAAAAUUCCGCAGAUUUGGAGUGCAAAAAAACUGCAGUUCACUGAGGCUUUACUUGAGGUUGGCUUCAGAUGAUACCAAGGGAUAAACUUAAGUUUAAGCAGUUUUAAAAAGCCUGGUUCAAAAUAUGUUUGGGCUAAAAAGUUCAUUUAUUUAUUUGUGGACACUGUUCUGAUUUGAAGUUAAGAGUUUUAAAUUCACUUGUAUGAUAAGGGCCAUGACUAAGUUGACAGCCAGGUGGGCUUGUUGUAGUCAAGCACCAACUUCUGUUCUUGAAAAAUGGAGCUGUGAUGUGUAAGUGCUAAAAACUUCAGUUCCCAAGUGCCCACUCGUGACUGGCUGCAGAAGCACUAGAAACUACGCUCACACUGAAUCAAAAAAGCCCUCUUUUAGAGCAAAACUAAACACAUUUACAACUUAGCUCAAAAAGCAGCUUUGUAUCACAAAGUGUUUUAAAGUUAUUCAGGAUAAGAGAUCAACGAAUCAGAGGAUUUUAUGACUUGACUGACAAGCAGCCGCACUGUGCAUGAAGUCUACAGAGAGAGCAGCUGAAACAAAGCAUUUUAGAUGUAGGCUAAAAUAAUAGUAUUUCAGUUCACCAGUACGAGAAAGACAAGGCUUAUUUUUAAUCUGAAAACCAUGUAACACUUUUAAAGAGGUAUCAGAAAGGAAAUGUAGAGUGAAAAAAAUACAUGAUACCCCCUUUUUAAAGGGAUAUUCUGUGCAGCAGAGUUUCGCAGCUUAAGGAGGAACAUUUAUGAUCUUUACUUCACAGAAAUGCAAUCAGACCAAGAUGCUAAGGCAGAAGAACUACCGCGUCUGCAGUGCAAAAUGAUAUUUAUGACGAUUAUUACUUCAUGGAAAUGAUCUGCUUCACUCGGUGAUCGACUCGUCAGGGCUCCCCCAUGAACAAGCAGCUGCUGGAAGAGAGUGGGUGAGUUGUCUUUGGUCUCUUUGCUAAAGAAAUCAGGCAAAGCUAAAAAGAUGUUUGGUGGCUAGUACUAUGGCUAGGACCCUAUAUGUACUGAUGAUGGAGUUAGGUGCUGUUCUGAGCAUUAUUUGUGGCUAUAGAGUGGCUUUUUGGUUGAGGUUUGCACGUGGAGUGACAGACCGCCAUGUAUUGCUAUCGUGCAGUCGUUACUAAAGUUGGUAUAACUAGAGAAGCAAGCAGUCGGCAACAUUCAUCUCUCGAGGGGGUGUCUAACUUGACCCUAACUUAAUUUUACAUUGGUAUGUCUCUUUGAGGUAAAUUCUCUCUGAUGUUAUGACUGAAACCUUUUGAAACACAUUCACAGAACAUAUCACAAUUUGUUGAUGAUCAUACUAUUACGUUUUUUUUUUGUGCUGUUUCACUUUAGGUAUGUGCACAACAGCGAAGAGAGCCAAUCCUCUAUAAGGUUUGCCAGCUGCUGCAGUAUAGAAUCAGAGUUCAUAACAACUUAAUGCAAUGCUCAGUAUGUGUUCCUCAAAACAGGAAUUAAUUGGCCUGCGGUGCAUGAUACCAUUCAAUAAUGUAUUACAUAAGAGUUUGACACCUUAUAUUGCUUUACAUGUAAGCAGCUGAUAGGUCAGUGAUGUCCACAAAUGCUCUAGAGUGAAUGAUAAACACUGCCCAGCCAUUUGGCUUUGAGCCAGCCUGAGGCCAAAACAAACGAAGUUUCUGCUCGGGGCCUUGCAGUCACUUAUAGAUGAGUAUGACCAUCCACAAGGACAUGAUUCAGUUUAGUAUUUCUAUGUGAACUUAGCUAGGACAAGUGGUGACAGCUCACACGUAGGCACCAUUCAAUAUUGAGCUAAAUAAAAAUAUGUCUGUCAAUAGCAACACAGUCUUGACGUGGGUGUUGGUGCUGUUCUGGAGUGAAAGUUGUUCCAUGUAUUUUGUCCUAGUUAUUUCGCUCUGUCUCCUUCUCUCUCUGCACACCUGCCCCGGAACUGCAAUCAACACACCUGCCUGCCAUCAAGCUAUCACCACCUCCUACAAGAACCCUGUGCUGCCAGAUUGUUGUGCAGAACUUGAUAAGUCUACGGUCCUCUGUGUGCCGUCCAGGUAUAUUUCGGUUUUCUGCUCACCUGAUUUGCAUUCAUGCUUGUUUUGCCUGCUUCCCCCUCGUCUCAUACCUGUUCUCCCUCCGGUCUGCCAGCCUGUCUCACCACUUCACCACAUCCACCUGCCAGCCACCUUUCGCCUGGGUUACUUUCCAUCUCUCCAGCUCACCCCCAGCUCUCUUCACUACACCUCCUGCCAGAAUUUCUAAUUAACAGCACUUUUACUUUUAUGUCAGGCUAUUUUUGCCAGUACUCUUAUUAUUAAUUUAAGCAAAUACCCAAAUCUUGUCUGACAGCAAGUUCUAGGUUCAUAUAGCGAAAAUACAAGGUGUAGCCGCACAUUGUCAAAUUUACUCGAACUCACUGAUGGUUGGAUUAUCCCUUCAAAGAACUAAGACAUUAAAUAAGGUAUUCAAUUAUUCAACAUGAUGAAAAUCAAGUCUCUUUUGGGCAAUUUUUCAGUUAUACCAUUUGGAUCUAUGGCAAAGGAUCAUCAUUCAAGCGUAGCAUCUACUGAAUGACAAAUUGCUUUGGUCCAUUUAAUAAUUUCUUUAAUGUUUAGAUAGUUGCAUGUAGCCUCUCUUUACCGUCAGCUUAGUUUAUGAGUGCUUUACAUCAAGGCUGUCAGUCUCUGCAGCUGUAGCAGGAAAAAACACAGAUUUAUGUUGUGAUAUUUUAUUCUGUAAGAACCAGUCAUCUGCCAGCAUGACUGCUCAGAUUGCAUCUAUCACUCAAACACAACAAGACAUCUUUCAUGAGGCCUAUUUGGCUGAACGGCUGAACAAUAAUGCAGCACCUGCAAGUCUUCAACUGUCUGUGUCACAUAAAUCAAAAAGAGCAAACGUUUUUUUUUUUUUUUUUAACCCUCCAUGUGAUGUCCGCCUAUUCAUCGUACUCUUGAGGACAAUGAAUCAUUUUCUCCACGAGCAGAACAAAACAUCCUGCUUUUUAAUGGCUGGACAAAAAAGACACGUAGUCGAGUGACGAACAGGCUGAUGUGUUAAGGAUGUUGUAUGGUGAGCUGUGUAAACAGAUUGGAACUGCAAUAGGGUGAGAAGGACUGCAAUAAACAGGAAAUGGAUAACAGAUUUUUAGAUAGUUUUUAAAAAAUUUGAGCUACAUCCAUACUUUAAGUCAACUGUGUAGCUGUUCUUUUUCUCUUCUUUUUUUUUACUGAAGAGUGAAGAAAUCUGUGACAUUUUGUGCUCUUUAAAUGAAGUAAUAUUAAAAUCAUCCCCCAUAUGUUUACCAAUUUAACAUGCCAGUGAAAACUGACAUUUAUUGACCAUAGAUUCAAUAAAGCAGAGGUGAAAUAUGCUCGACUGUUUUCUGCAGAAAAAGUGAGAUAGAGCUGUAUCUGGCAGUGGUAUGCUCUUCUAAGUAACAUUUACUAUCAAAGAAAAUAACCGACUGUUGCUAUGGAGUGUUGACCAAUCAGAACAAAGUAAUUGACUUGGCUUAAAUAACAUAAACUGAUAGGAUACCAAUGUUAGUUAUGAGGCUUUUGGCAACAUAUUAAGACAAAAUAAUGUUUCUAUUUUGAGAACAAGCAGGUCAGAUUAUUCAGCAAACAGAAAAUAUGACGGACCCUAAAUUUGAUAUUGGUAAAUACACAGAGAAGCAUAUUGUAUAUAUAGUUUAUAUAUUUUAUAUCUUUAAACAAACAAACAAAAAACAGCCACUACUUUGCAUCAGUCUGAACAACUAUUUGAGAUGCUUUCUCUAAAGUAAAACUGCAGUAUUUGUUGCUUCAAUAACUUGUAUUUACCUAUAAAACACAUUUUAAGACAAUUUUGAGUUUACUGCAGGAAUCCUUUGUCCAUGUCUUCCUGGGAGACAUGUUGGGAUUUAAUGACAGCCCUAGGGAGAGAGUUAUUUUUGAUAGCUGUUUGUCACGGUUGUGCGAGGAUGUAAACAAGAGUUAAAGCACAGAAAUCAGCACACUGCACCCUGUCUAUUGUGCAUCCAGAGUGAAUGACUCACCGCUUCACCAUGCAUUUUUACCUGUAAAUAUCCCUUCAUUAGUCUAUACAUUAUCUUUGCAGCACAACACCAGCUGCAAGUAUAAUUUACUGAAUCAAGGCAUACCUUUACUACUAAGGAGCAGCUUUUCAUAUGACUGUCUUGUGAAAACAAAUUAGCCUAAAUUCUAAAUUCUUCUAAAUUGAAGUCAAAUAAGAGACCAGCUCAAACAAUGUCGAUGCUAAUAGGUUUGACUCACUGCCUAAUACAAGAUAGCAACAUCCAGACGUUGUUAGGAGAUAUUUGAUUUACAGAGUACAACACAA